UCAGAUGCCAGCCAAAGGUUUGUGGAUC
rnacentral:piRNA from 1 species